rnacentral:rRNA from 1 species
UACGAGGGGGGCAAGCGUUGUUCGGAAUUAUUGGGCGUAAAGGGCGCGUAGGCGGUGCGGUAAGUCACCUGUGAAACCUCCUAGGCUCAACCUAGAGCCUGCAGGCGAAACUGCCGUGCUUGAGGGUGGGAGGAGGUGCGUUGGAAUUCCCGGUGUAGCGGUGAAAAUGCGUAGAUAUCGGGAGGAACACCUGUGGCGAAAGCGGACGCACUGGACCACAUGUGACGCUGAGGCGCGAAAGCUAGGGGAGCAAACAGG